GAUGAACGCUAGCUACAGGCUUAACACAUGCAAGUCGAGGGGCAGCAUGGUCUUAGCUUGCUAAGGCCGAUGGCGACCGGCGCACGGGUGAGUAACACGUAUCCAACCUGCCGUCUACUCUUGGACAGCCUUCUGAAAGGAAGAUUAAUACAAGAUGGCAUCAUGAGUCCGCAUGUUCACAUGAUUAAAGGUGUUCCGGUAGACGAUGGGGAUGCGUUCCAUUAGUUAGUUGGCGGGGUAACGGCCCACCAAGACAACGAUGGAUAGGGGUUCUGAGAGGAAGGUCCCCCACAUUGGAACUGAGACACGGUCCAA
rnacentral:rRNA from 1 species